UACGGGGGGAGCAAGCGUUGUUCGGAUUUACUGGGCGUAAAGGGCGCGUAGGCGGUCAGCACAAGUCAGUUGUGAAAUCUCCGGGCUUAACUCGGAAAGGUCAACUGAUACUGUGCGACUAGAGUGCAGAAGGGGCAACUGGAAUUCUCGGUGUAGCGGUGAAAUGCGUAGAUAUCGAGAGGAACACCUGCGGCGAAGGCGGGUUGCUGGGCUGACACUGACGCUGAGGCGCGAAAGUGUGGGGAUCAAACAGG
rnacentral:rRNA from 1 species